UUAGGUGGCUAUAGCGAGGGUGUUCCACCUCUUCCCAUUCCGAACAGAGUAGUUAAGCCCCUCAGCGCCGAUGGUACUGCAGUAAAAUGUGGGAGAGUAGGUCACCGCCUUUU
rnacentral:rRNA from 1 species